UCUGGAUAAACGUGUAUUCAUCCAAGAGAAUGAAGCAAGUCACUUUACGGAAUUAUACCAAGUCACACAUUUUAGGAUUGAUAAAGACUUACAUAUAAGUGAAAUCUUUAAAUGUUAGGAUAAUCGUAUGUCCUUUAACAUAUUUUAUGUUAUAAAAAUAAUCUUGAAUAACUUUAGUUAUUUUUCAAGUUACGAUUGU
rnacentral:sRNA from 12 species